AGAGUUUGAUCCUGGCUCAGGACGAACGCUGGCGGCGUGCUUAACACAUGCAAGUCGAACGGAAAGGCCCCUUCGGGGGUGCUCGAGUGGCGAACGGGUGAGUAACACGUGGGUGAUCUGCCCUGCACUUCGGGAUAAGCCUGGGAAACUGGGUCUAAUACCGGAUAGGACUACGCACUGCAUGGUGUGUGGUGGAAAGCUUUUGCGGUGUGGGAUGGGCCCGCGGCCUAUCAGCUUGUUGGUGGGGUGAUGGCCUACCAAGGCGUCGACGGGUAGCCGGCCUGAGAGGGUGUCCGGCCACACUGGGACUGAGAUACGGCCCAGACUCCUACGGGAGGCAGCAGUGGGGAAUAUUGCACAAUGGGCGCAAGCCUGAUGCAGCGACGCCGCGUGGGGGAUGACGGCCUUCGGGUUGUAAACCUCUUUCAGCACAGACGAAGCGCAAGUGACGGUAUGUGCAGAAGAAGCACCGGCCAACUACGUGCCAGCAGCCGCGGUA
rnacentral:rRNA from 1 species